GGGCCUGUGGUGUACAGGCAGCAUACAAUAUGAUCCAUUCCUGCUGGUGAUUGUGGUGUAGGUUCGAUCCCUAUCAGGCCCA